UAUGNCAGANACUCUGNCCACCCCAAGUACCGUGAAGGAUGCAAUNCCCUANGGGUUGGNACCUNCUUUUAUCCGGGAAUAAAGUGAGNCCCGUGUCCCUUUUUGUAUGUCCCGUAUGAAUAAGGANCGGCCUANCUCNGUGCCCAGCCAGCCCCCGGNUAAUCCGGAGGANCCGAGCCGUUANCCGGAUUUCCUGGGUGUAAAGGGCCGUGCCAGCCCGGGCCAUGCCAAGUCAGAUGUGAAAUCUCCAGGGCCUCCAACCCCUGAAACCUGCCAUUUGAANCUGGUUUUUCCUUGAGUGAAGUAGAGGCCAGGCCGGAAUUCGUGGGUGUAGCGGUGAAAUGCCUUAGAUAUCCCCGAAGAACUCCCGAUUGCCGAAGGCCAGCCUUGCCUGGACCUGUANCUGNCGCCUGAUGCCUCCGAAAGUGUGGGUUAUCAAACAGGAUUAGAUACCCCUGGUUAGUCCCAAGGGCNGAAUUC
rnacentral:rRNA from 1 species